GAUUAAGUUAUUAAGGGCGCACGGUGGAUGCCUUGGCACUAGAAGCCGAUGAAGGACGUUACUAACGACGAUAUGCUUUGGGGAGCUGUAAGUAAGCUUUGAUCCAGAGAUUUCCGAAUGGGGAAACCCAGCAUGAGUUAUGUCAUGUUAUCGAUAUGUGAAUACAUAGCAUAUCAGAAGGCACACCCGGAGAACUGAAACAUCUUAGUACCCGGAGGAAGAGAAAGAAAAUUCGAUUCCCUUAGUAGCGGCGAGCGAAACGGGAAGAGCCCAAACCAACAAGCUUGCUUGUUGGGGUUGUAGGACACUCUAUACGGAGUUACAAAGGACGACAUUAGACGAAUCAUCUGGAAAGAUGAAUCAAAGAAGGUAAUAAUCCUGUAGUCGAAAAUGUUGUCUCUCUUGAGUGGAUCCUGAGUACGACGGAGCACGUGAAAUUCCGUCGGAAUCUGGGAGGACCAUCUCCUAAGGCUAAAUACUCUCUAGUGACCGAUAGUGAACCAGUACCGUGAGGGAAAGGUGAAAAGCACCCCGGAAGGGGAGUGAAAUAGAACCUGAAACCGUGUGCUUACAAGUAGUCAGAGCCCGUUAAUGGGUGAUGGCGUGCCUUUUGUAGAAUGAACCGGCGAGUUACGAUUUGAUGCAAGGUUAAGCAGUAAAUGUGGAGCCGUAGCGAAAGCGAGUCUGAAUAGGGCGUUUAGUAUUUGGUCGUAGACCCGAAACCAGGUGAUCUACCCUUGGUCAGGUUGAAGUUCAGGUAACACUGAAUGGAGGACCGAACCGACUUACGUUGAAAAGUGAGCGGAUGAACUGAGGGUAGCGGAGAAAUUCCAAUCGAACCUGGAGAUAGCUGGUUCUCUCCGAAAUAGCUUUAGGGCUAGCCUCAAGUGAUGAUUAUUGGAGGUAGAGCACUGUUUGGACGAGGGGCCCCUCUCGGGUUACCGAAUUCAGACAAACUCCGAAUGCCAAUUAAUUUAACUUGGGAGUCAGAACAUGGGUGAUAAGGUCCGUGUUCGAAAGGGAAACAGCCCAGACCACCAGCUAAGGUCCCAAAAUAUAUGUUAAGUGGAAAAGGAUGUGGCGUUGCCCAGACAACUAGGAUGUUGGCUUAGAAGCAGCCAUCAUUUAAAGAGUGCGUAAUAGCUCACUAGUCGAGUGACACUGCGCCGAAAAUGUACCGGGGCUAAACAUAUUACCGAAGCUGUGGAUUGUCCUUUGGACAAUGGUAGGAGAGCGUUCUAAGGGCGUUGAAGCAUGAUCGUAAGGACAUGUGGAGCGCUUAGAAGUGAGAAUGCCGGUGUGAGUAGCGAAAGACGGGUGAGAAUCCCGUCCACCGAUUGACUAAGGUUUCCAGAGGAAGGCUCGUCCGCUCUGGGUUAGUCGGGUCCUAAGCUGAGGCCGACAGGCGUAGGCGAUGGAUAACAGGUUGAUAUUCCUGUACCACCUAUAAUCGUUUUAAUCGAUGGGGGGACGCAGUAGGAUAGGCGAAGCGUGCGAUUGGAUUGCACGUCUAAGCAGUAAGGCUGAGCAUUAGGCAAAUCCGGUACUCGUUAAGGCUGAGCUGUGAUGGGGAGAAGACAUUGUGUCUUCGAGUCGUUGAUUUCACACUGCCGAGAAAAGCCUCUAGAUAGAAAAUAGGUGCCCGUACCGCAAACCGACACAGGUAGUCAAGAUGAGAAUUCUAAGGUGAGCGAGCGAACUCUCGUUAAGGAACUCGGCAAAAUGACCCCGUAACUUCGGGAGAAGGGGUGCUCUUUAGGGUUAACGCCCAGAAGAGCCGCAGUGAAUAGGCCCAAGCGACUGUUUAUCAAAAACACAGGUCUCUGCUAAACCGUAAGGUGAUGUAUAGGGGCUGACGCCUGCCCGGUGCUGGAAGGUUAAGAGGAGUGGUUAGCUUCUGCGAAGCUACGAAUCGAAGCCCCAGUAAACGGCGGCCGUAACUAUAACGGUCCUAAGGUAGCGAAAUUCCUUGUCGGGUAAGUUCCGACCCGCACGAAAGGCGUAACGAUUUGGGCACUGUCUCAACGAGAGACUCGGUGAAAUCAUAGUACCUGUGAAGAUGCAGGUUACCCGCGACAGGACGGAAAGACCCCGUGGAGCUUUACUGUAGCCUGAUAUUGAAAUUCGGCACAGCUUGUACAGGAUAGGUAGGAGCCUUUGAAACGUGAGCGCUAGCUUACGUGGAGGCGCUGGUGGGAUACUACCCUAGCUGUGUUGGCUUUCUAACCCGCACCACUUAUCGUGGUGGGAGACAGUGUCAGGCGGGCAGUUUGACUGGGGCGGUCGCCUCCUAAAAGGUAACGGAGGCGCUCAAAGGUUCCCUCAGAAUGGUUGGAAAUCAUUCAUAGAGUGUAAAGGCAUAAGGGAGCUUGACUGCGAGACCUACAAGUCGAGCAGGGUCGAAAGACGGACUUAGUGAUCCGGUGGUUCCGCAUGGAAGGGCCAUCGCUCAACGGAUAAAAGCUACCCCGGGGAUAACAGGCUUAUCUCCCCCAAGAGUUCACAUCGACGGGGAGGUUUGGCACCUCGAUGUCGGCUCAUCGCAUCCUGGGGCUGUAGUCGGUCCCAAGGGUUGGGCUGUUCGCCCAUUAAAGCGGUACGCGAGCUGGGUUCAGAACGUCGUGAGACAGUUCGGUCCCUAUCCGUCGUGGGCGUAGGAAAUUUGAGAGGAGCUGUCCUUAGUACGAGAGGACCGGGAUGGACAUACCUCUGGUGUACCAGUUGUCGUGCCAACGGCAUAGCUGGGUAGCUAUGUGUGGACGGGAUAAGUGCUGAAAGCAUCUAAGCAUGAAGCCCCCCUCAAGAUGAGAUUUCCCAACUUCGGUUAUAAGAUCCCUCAAAGAUGAUGAGGUUAAUAGGUUCGAGGUGGAAGCAUGGUGACAUGUGGAGCUGACGAAUACUAAUCGAUCGAAGACUUAAUCAA
rnacentral:rRNA from 1 species